rnacentral:rRNA from 1 species
UACGUAGGUGGCAAGCGUUGUCCGGAUUUAUUGGGUUUAAAGGGUGCGUAGGCGGCUUUGUAAGUCAGUGGUGAAAUAUGGCAGCUUAACUGUCAGGGUGCCAUUGAUACUGCAGAGCUUGAGUACAGAUGAGGUAGGCGGAAUUGACGGUGUAGCGGUGAAAUGCUUAGAUAUCGUCAAGAACACCUAUAGCGAAGGCAGCUUACUAGGCUGUAACUGACGCUGAGGCACGAAGGUGUGGGGAUCAAACAGG